rnacentral:lncRNA from 1 species
GUUAUUUGGCUGGAGUGAGGUCUCAUGUCUGCUUAUGCGGUGGCUCGCUGCUCAGAACAGGCCUAGCUAGAUGCCUGGAAUUUCCCUUGAAGGAAGUCAAGAUUUUCCUUUAUCUCCAUACUGGCUGAUGGUGAUCGAGUAAGCCCCUAAGAGGGGUCCCUGCUCCAUCUCGAGAUGCUGCUAGAUUCUACAGUGCCUAAUAAACAGCUCUCGCCUGGCCGACAAAGAGCUGCUUGCUCUCUGGAUAGCAAUUCCAAAGUGAACAGACAACAUCCUGUUUGGAAGACUGCCACUCUGUUAGAAGAAGCAUCAGGAAAACCUUUCUUUUGAGCUAUUUAUAACUAACAGCAAUUGACCAAGUAUACUUUUGAACCAUUGGAGAUACUCAUUACUCUUUGAAGGCUUACAGUGGAAUGAAUUCAAAUACGACUUAUUUGAGGAAUUGAAGUUGACUUUAUGGAGCUGAUAAGAAUCUUCUUGGAGAAAAAAAGACUGGGUAUAUUUUCAAUAUGCUUUCCUUUUAAGGUCCCUCACCUGUGGAAAGUAAAGAAUGUCACUUUCUGACAGGCUCAGGAACCUCAAGUUAUGUAGGGAUCUCAAGAAGAUGGGGGAAUUCACCCAGUUCAUACAGGUGAAAUUGCUGUUGCAAAGAUUAUGAAUAUGAGAGAAGUCCAGCAUGGCUGACUUCAUCUCGUGUCUGGCCUCAGGCUGGCUGCCCUUGCUCACUCUUGGGCAUAGGCCAAGCUAGCCAUGGGAGGAAUUUAGUUUAUAGUUUAACUUUGAAGCACGGAUGAUAAUAGUCUCUCCCUAAAAUGAACCCCUUCCUUGCUCAGGGACUGAAACUACCUUUGUAUGACAAAUGAAAGCCCACAAGAUUAAGAUUAUGAGAGGGGCCUGAAUUCUGCUAAAAUGCAGGUGUAGCUGACUGAUAACAAGUCAUUGUCCCACAGCUUGCCUUUCUAUAAUCUCUUGCUUCUCAGGAGUCACAUGGCCAGAGGUCCUGAGAUUUCCAGUCCUGUGACCCCCACCCAGAGAUGGACUUAGUGCAUGAGGACCAUUUUCCACACCCCUAUGAUUUCAUCCUCAAACAAUCAGCAGCAACCAUUCCCUAGCCCCCUGCCUUCCAAAUUAUCCAUAAAAAUCCUAGCCUCUGAGUUAUUAGGGAGAUUGAUUAAUAAUCCCAGUCCUACCC